rnacentral:rRNA from 1 species
AGUGAACGCUGGCGGCAGGCCUAACACAUGCAAGUCGAACGGCAGCACAGUAAGAGCUUGCUCUUACGGGUGGCGAGUGGCGGACGGGUGGGGAAUACAUCGGAAUCUACUUUUUCGUGGGGGAUAACGUAGGGAAACUUACGCUAAUACCGCAUACGACCUACGGGUGAAAGCAGGGGAUCUUCGGACCUUGCGCGAUUGAAUGAGCCGAUGUCGGAUUAGCUAGUUGGCGGGGUAAAGGCCCACCAAGGCGACGAUCCGUAGCUGGUCUGAGAGGAUGAUCAGCCACACUGGAACUGAGACACGGUCCAGACUCCUACGGGAGGCAGCAGUGGGGAAUAUUGGACAAUGGGCGCAAGCCUGAUCCAGCCAUACCGCGUGGGUGAAGAAGGCCUUCGGGUUGUAAAGCCCUUUUGUUGGGAAAGAAAAGCAGCAGGUUAAUACCCCGCUGUUCUGACGGUACCCAAAGAAUAAGCACCGGCUAACUUCGUG